rnacentral:rRNA from 1 species
UACGAAGGGGGCUAGCGUUGCUCGGAAUCACUGGGCGUAAAGCGCACGUAGGCGGAUUGUUAAGUCAGGGGUGAAAUCCUGGAGCUCAACUCCAGAACUGCCUUUGAUACUGACGAUCUCGAGUCCGGGAGAGGAGGGUGGAAUUCCUGGUGUAGCGGUGAAAUGCGUAGAUAUCAGGAGGAACACCGGUGGCGAAGGCGGCCCUCUGGACGGUGACUGACGCUGAGACGCGAAAGCGUGGGAAGCAAACAGG